UACGAAGGGGGCUAGCGUUGCUCGGAAUGACUGGGCGUAAAGCGCACGUAGGCGGACUACUAAGUCAGGGGUGAAAUCCCGGGGCUCAACCCCGGAACUGCCUUUGAUACUGAUAGUCUCGAGUCCGGAAGAGGUGAGUGGAAUUCCGAGUGUAGAGGUGAAAUUCGUAGAUAUUCGGAGGAACACCAGUGGCGAAGGCGGCUCACUGGUCCGGUACUGACGCUGAGGUGCGAAAGCGUGGGGAGCAAACAGG
rnacentral:rRNA from 1 species